AUUGAACGCUGGCGGCAGGCCUAACACAUGCAAGUCGAGCGGAUGAAGGGAGCUUGCUCCUGGAUUCAGCGGCGGACGGGUGAGUAAUGCCUAGGAAUCUGCCUGGUAGUGGGGGAUAACGUCCGGAAACGGGCGCUAAUACCGCAUACGUCCUGAGGGAGAAAGUGGGGGAUCUUCGGACCUCACGCUAUCAGAUGAGCCUAGGUCGGAUUAGCUAGUUGGUGGGGUAAAGGCCUACCAAGGCGACGAUCCGUAACUGGUCUGAGAGGAUGAUCAGUCACACUGGAACGGAGACACGGUCCAGAGUCCUACGGGAGGCAGCAGUGGGGAAUAUUGGACAAUGGGCGAAAGCCUGCUCCAGCCAUGCCGCGUGUGUGAAGAAGGUCUUCGGAUUGUAAAGCACUUUAAGUUGGGAGGAAGGGCAGUAAGUUAAUACCUUGCUGUUUUGACGUUACCAACAGAAUAAGCACCGGCUAACUUCGUG
rnacentral:rRNA from 1 species